GUUUUGAUCUGCUCAGGAUGAACGCUAGCGACAGGCCUAACACAUGCAAGUCGAGGGGCAGCAUAAAAGUAGCAAUACUUUGGUGGCGACCGGCGCACGGGUGAGUAACACGUAUGCAACCUACCUGUAAGCGGGGAAUAACCCGGAGAAAUCCGGACUAAUACCGCAUAAUACUGUCUUACCACAUGGUAUAACAGUUAAACAUUUAUGGUUUACAGAUGGGCAUGCGUAUGAUUAGUUAGUUGGUGAGGUAACGGCUCACCAAGACAACGAUCAUUAGGGGUUCUGAGAGGAAGGUCCCCCACACUGGUACUGAGACACGGACCAGACUCCUACGGGAGGCAGCAGUGAGGAAUAUUGGUCAAUGGGCGAGAGCCUGAACCAGCCAAGUCGCGUGAAGGAAGAAUGUCCUAUGGAUUGUAAACUUCUUUUGUAAGGGAAUAAAAAGUAUCACGUGUGAUAUAUUGUAUGUACUUUACGAAUAAGGAUCGGCUAACUCCGUGCCAGCAGCCGCGGUAAUACGGAGGAUCCAAGCGUUAUCCGGAUUUAUUGGGUUUAAAGGGUGCGUAGGCGGGCCAUUAAGUCAGGGGUGAAAGUUUGCAGCUUAACUGUAAAAUUGCCUUUGAAACUGUUGGUCUUGAGUGUAAAUGAGGUAGGCGGAAUGUGUUGUGUAGCGGUGAAAUGCUUAGAUAUAACACAGAACCCCGAUUGCGAAGGCAGCUUACUGGGAUACAACUGACGCUGAUGCACGAAAGCGUGGGGAUCAAACAGGAUUAGAUACCCUGGUAGUCCACGCAGUAAACGAUGAAUACUAACUGUUUGCGAUACACAGUAAGCGGUACAGCGAAAGCGUUAAGUAUCCACA
rnacentral:rRNA from 1 species